UCGUGUUGUUUUACUUUUUCUUUACCAGACCUGCGAACCACCAAUUUUGCCACCACUGUGAGCAAUAAUUAAUGAAAGAAUUUCUGAUCGAGGAUGGAGUAAUUUCUCUCAGAGUCAAUUUGAGGAUGUGUGUUCUACAAAUAUACAGAGGUUCAGAUCUAGCAGAAUUAUAAACCAAAGCUCUCUUGCUCAACUUUUGCUGUCCUUUUUUGACAAGUUUGCAGAUAUUAGAACUUUUGGUUCGGAUUAUAGCAUCUCUACAUAUGAUGGACAACAAAUCAGCCGUCAUUUUUAUAGCUCGCCCCUGAUUAUAGAGGAUCCUUUCGAGUGAAUGGAAAAUGCUGCUAGAACAAUCCGCUGGGUUGAACUACCUAAGAUAUCAAAUGCAUUUCAAAAUGCGCACAAUAAGCUUUCAUCUGGUUCGGUGCUCUCUGAUCAUGACUCCUUGCUCCCUCUUUUGACUAAGCCUUUCCUUGCUUCUAAGUUUCACGAGCUGCAAUCGUCAGCGAAUUACAAUAGGAGGAGCCAAUAUCUUGACAUUGGUGCCAUUGAGCAACAGUUUGAGAAUGCAGUAAGGCUGGAUAGGGUUUGAUCUCCGCCCUCGACUUCUGUUGUCUGUUUCGGAUUCACAUAUCGUGACCUUUUCCAUUAACCGUAACGGUUUGGUUAGCGUUGUUGCAUUUGGUGUUAAGUUACUUGCAUAUCAAGGUUGUAGAAAUUGUGAGAUUUAGCGAACAUAUUAAGAAUUAUGGCAUAGUUUGGGUGCUUCCGAGCCAGCCUAAUUUCGGUGAUUACGGAUCUGGCACGUUGUAGCUCAAUAAAAGUAAGCCAAGGCUGAGCUUAAUCAGGCUGAAUUGAGGUUUAGCGAGUUCAGUCUGUGCAUGACUUGAGUGUCUCCACAUGUCAACUGUUAAUGAACCAAAUGGAGAGGUUUGGUCUAAGUUAGCUUUCUAAUCUUAUGAAUUAUUUUUUUUUAUUUUUUCUC